CUCCAAACCCCCUCCCAUAGCCAGUGAGCAAUUCCACUGGGUUUUACAUGUUGUAAACAAAGAUUUUGAGAAGUGACAAAAUGGAUCUGCAGAAAAAGCAAGAAGCUUAGAACUUGGUAAAACGCCAAUCAAAUGAGAUGGAGAUAGAGUUCCAAUGGAAUCUUGAAGGGAGCAGUUAGGAAACCCAGCUGCUUGAACUUCACUUCCUUCUCUGGCUGUUGGAAGAGAAGGUGGAAGAAAAACUCUCUCUUUGGUCAUUGAUUAUCCAUAUGACUGAGUGCUGAGAAGACUUGAUUGCCUUUGAAUGGAAUGUCUUGCUUCACAUUCGAGAUGCUUGUUACAACCUCUUCUAAACAGCUCUUCACAUGCAGUAUUGAGUAUGUCCUCUUUCUGCUUCCCAGAGAUCCAGCACUCCUUUGGCUAUCGGUCCCAGACCACAUUUUUACCAGGUAAGCAUCCCUCUUCCCC